UACGUAGGUGGCAAGCGUUAUCCGGAUUUACUGGGUGUAAAGGGCGUGUAGGCGGCUCUGCAAGUCAGAUGUGAAAUUCCCAGGCUUAACCUGGGCGCUGCAUCUGAAACUGUGGAACUUGAGUACUGGAGAGGAUAGUGGAAUUCCUAGUGUAGCGGUAAAAUGCGUAGAUAUUAGGAGGAACACCGGUGGCGAAGGCGGCUAUCUGGACAGUAACUGACGCUGAGGCGCGAAAGCGUGGGGAGCAAACAGG
rnacentral:rRNA from 1 species